GCGCCUGUAGCUCAACGGAUCGAGCAUCUGGCUGCGGACCAGAAGGUUGUAGGUUCAAUUCCUGCCAGGCGCACAA
rnacentral:tRNA from 2 species